UUGCGCAACAAUGUGCUGCCACCUGCACUCGUUUCGUCACUACACUUUAACCGGUGGCUCGAGAGUGCUCGUUGUCCGUGCCGGCUCUCCGUGUUACUUUCGCCAAUUAAACUUUUGCCGUUUCUUUAACGUUAAUAUGAAAUGCCGGUGAAUGUGAGUUCUCGCGGGCGAUUCUCCUGUCUUGUUGGAAAAUUAUUCAGCACCCUGUGAAACCCGACGGACCUCUUCCCUCUCGAUAAAUCCCGACCUUCCUCCCGCUCUGCCAACACUUUUCCCCUUCAACGAUGCUCGAACACGUUUUUUAUUCUCCGAGCUACACGCCAGGACCUGUUGUGUCCAUCCUGGCGUCCAUCAUCGCUUCGAGUCCAUUCUCACCCUCUCCCCCUUCCCCUAGUCUUUUCUAUUUAAAGGUUGUCUGUCAGACUAACGGCUUUACUACUUUUAUGCGGGUUUAAACUUUCGACUUUUGAUGAGUUCACUAAUAAAUACUCGCUUGAACCCUCCAUUACUAUCACCUUUUGCUCACACUUUGAAUACCCUUGUCAAUCAUUUAUAUUUGAUGUCUCUUUUACUCUUUUAACCGACCAGUCUGUAUUCAACUUUCUUUUCAAUUGCUAAACACUUCAAAUACUUAUAUUUCCAUUGCGAUACGUAUUUAUUUUCAUCUAGUUUCAAUAUACUAAUUCGAAAAAUUUAGUUUCUCUUUUCAUUGAAAUAAUAACUGACGAAAAAUGAAAAGCGUUCUGGAAGAUCGGAAACUUUUGGGAAAUUCUCAAAGGCUCCGCACAGAAUCUCGUAUUUUCAUCAAAACUGCUUCACCGCAACAUUUUUUUUACAACCUUGGAAUUAUGAGCCACCGAGUAAAAUUUGCCCUUUCGCGAUGCGAAAACUUGACAUUCACCACCAUAUUUUUUUCUAUAGCUAUCCAAAAUCACUCGUCACUCCGGAAGAAAAUGUCGGCGGCAAUGUGAACGAGAAAUUCUCUUUUCUUGUCGACUCCUCGACAAGAAUCCUCGAAUUUUUAGAAUAAUUUUCGAAAUAUAAUUGCUUUCAUCGAAGAAAUCGAUUCGUUUCAAAUAACAAAGUUAUUCAUCGACUUGAACGUUUUCUCGAGUUUUUUUUUAUCAAUUCGCGAAUCACGAGUUCAUUUGUCCAAUAGUUAUAUAUCCGACGUCAGUGUCCAUUUUGGCAAUGUCUUAUUUUCGCUACUAUCCAUUCGAAAAUAUUCAAAUGGUAGUGUACACACAUCGAAAGUUAUUCGUACUAUUUAUAUACUAAAAUUACUAAGCUCUGCAGCACAUGUGAUCGUCACGCAAGACGAAAUGUAAUCUUAUUGGUUAUUGUGUUGUACGACACUUGAUUGGAAACCGUCAGACAGACGGGUCACGCACACAAAUAAACUCACACUGAUUGAAGCGGCAGACUGUCGCUCGCAUAUACUGGCGGAGUCGUGACGAGUCCGAAAAAGACAUUUGCACAUUCAUCUUGAUGGUGCGGAAGUCCCGUUAAAACUCAACGAACCAUAUUUCCUUGAUACUCACAAUUAUAUCAGCUGAUAGCGAAUCGUAAUAAUAGGAAAAUAUAUCGUUGAAAAAUUGACGAAUUUCAUUCGCAGUCUAACCUCGAAAGUCUGUGCCACAUGAAACAUGUAGUUUUUUUUCACCUCUGUUCUUUCGAGUUUUUCAAGAAUAACGACGAGACAGGAAAUGUCGACGAUCAUAAAAGUCAAGUUUGCAGAGAAUGUUUCGAGGGCUGACGAAGCCAGUGACAAUACGAGUAGAGCUUCGUCCGAUUUAUCAUCGAUCAACAAGGAAUUGUUGGUUAACAUAAACUGUAACAUCGGGCUUAUAGAGAAUUAUAUUCGAGAGUGUAGUCGCUUAGAAUCGUCAGGUACAAAAGCAAUUAAUUUUGAAUCAAUCUGCCGAAGCACGAAAAAGCCGGCGAAAAGAUGUUUUAAAAGUUGUACGUUAAAGAGGAACUUGAUUUGUGGGAAGAAUCAACCAAUCAAAUGAAGGAUUUGGUAGCCCGAAAGCUGUGGGAAUCGGGUCUCGAUGUGUUCAAGUCCAAUGACACGUAUUUCUUGAUUCUUGUUGAGCGUGAGUCGCCGGAAAAUGUCCCCUCGUUUUACGAUCGCUAUUGUUGAGACAAGAUGCGAGAAAAAUGUGAAUUUUUCAGGAAAUUUCAACGGGAACGCGGUCAACUACGUUCCCCUCGUUGCAGGAAAAUUGCCGCGAACUCUUGCGGAAACGAUAACGAAAGCGAGGAAACAGAGCAAAAAAAAAUUGUCUUCGACGGGAACUCUAAUACGGGACAAAGGCGGACGUAAGAAAAUUUCUGACAAAUCGAAAUAAAUCUGUGAUCCUUUUUUCAAUACGUAAUAAAUAUCGACAACAUUUUUAAUGCGUUACUGUACAAAGCUUCUUCUUUACUCAGCAAAUUCAGGAUUUUUCUUUCGCUUUUUCGCUAAUGAACCUGUAACACAGUACAAAUUCAAAUUUUUUAAUAAUACAAGUUCUCCUUCGUCACUCACAUUUCCUUGAUCAAUGAAAAUCGACAGUCAGAAAAAAUUAUGUACACUUUCAGAAAUAAAACAUAAUAAAAACUAUUUUCUCAAA